GAUGAACGCUGGCGGCGUGCCUAAUACAUGCAAGUCGAGCGAACGGACGAGAAGCUUGCUUCUCUGAUGUUAGCGGCGGACGGGUGAGUAACACGUGGAUAACCUACCUAUAAGACUGGGAUAACUUCGGGAAACCGGAGCUAAUACCGGAUAAUAUUUUGAACCGCAUGGUUCAAAAGUGAAAGACGGUCUUUCUGUCACUUAUAGAUGGAUCCGCGCUGCAUUAGCUAGUUGGUAAGGUAACGGCUUACCAAGGCAACGAUGCAUAGCCGACCUGAGAGGGUGAUCGGCCACACUGGAACUGAGACACGGUCCAGACUCCUACGGGAGGCAGCAGUUGGGAAUCUUCCGCAAUGGGCGAAAGCCUGACGGAGCAACGCCGCGUGAGUGAUGAAGGUCUUCGGAUCGUAAAACUCUGUUAUUAGGGAAGAACAUAUGUGUAAGUAACUGUGCACAUCUUGACGGUACCUAAUCAGAAAGCCACGGCUAACUACGUG
rnacentral:rRNA from 1 species